CUUGUUCAUAUAAAUGAUCGUCAGGUUUGCAUCCACGACCAUCACGUUGGCAGUCACGAAAUCCGCGGCAAUCGAUCGUGCAAACUCACCCUUGCUGGGGGACCGCUGAAACAUCUGAUAACAUCCUCUUUUUUCUAAUUCGGUUUGGGGAAGGAUCUGCGGUGGCCAAUCAAACGAGGCACAAUUCAAUCGUUGUCUCGCAAUGCAUUACUGAAAUGCGGCUCAUGCUUUGUGAGACCACGCUUUAGUCAACUAGCCAGGACGUGUAGG
rnacentral:misc_RNA from 1 species